rnacentral:rRNA from 1 species
UUGGGCCUAAUACAUGCAAGUCGAACGGAAAGGCCCUGCUUUUGUGGGGUGCUCGAGUGGCGAACGGGUGAGUAACACGUGAGUAACCUGCCCUUGACUUUGGGAUAACUUCAGGAAACUGGGGCUAAUACCGGAUAGGAGCUCCUGCUGCAUGGUGGGGGUUGGAAAGUUUCGGCGGUUGGGGAUGGACUCGCGGCUUAUCAGCUUGUUGGUGGGGUAGUGGCUUACCAAGGCUUUGACGGGUAGCCGGCCUGAGAGGGUGACCGGCCACAUUGGGACUGAGAUACGGCCCAGACUCCUACGGGAGGCAGCAGUGGGGAAUAUUGCACAAUGGGCGGAAGCCUGAUGCAGCAACGCCGCGUGCGGGAUGACGGCCUUCGGGUUGUAAACCGCUUUCGCCUGUGACGAAGCGUGAGUGACGGUAAUGGGUAAAGAAGCACCGGCUAACUACGUGCCAGCAGCCGCGGUGAUACGUAGGGUGCGAGCGUUGUCCGGAUUUAUUGGGCGUAAAGGGCUCGUAGGUGGUUGAUCGCGUCGGAAGUGUAAUCUUGGGGCUUAACCCUGAGCGUGCUUUCGAUACGGGUUGACUUGAGGAAGGUAGGGGAGAAUGGAAUUCCUGGUGGAGCGGUGGAAUGCGCAGAUAUCAGGAGGAACACCAGUGGCGAAGGCGGUUCUCUGGGCCUUUCCUGACGCUGAGGAGCGAAAGCGUGGGGAGCGAACAGGAUUAGAUACCCUGGUAGUCCACG